GCUCGUAGAUAGAUUUCUGGGUCGGAGCCGCCGGCCCGGCACUUCGGUGCUGUGUUGUUGGUUGGCUCUACCCAUCUUUUCGGCACAACCAGCUUGCUCUUCACUGAGUGAGUUGGCGAUGCUGAUCUUUUACUUUGAAAAAAUUAGAGUGUUCAAAGCAGGCUUAUUGCUGUGAAUACAUUAGCAUGGAAUAAUAAUAUAGGACUUCUGUCUUAUUUUGUUGGUUUCUAAGAUGGAAGUAAUGAUUGAUAGGGAUAGUUGGGGGUGCUCGUAUUCAGCGGCCAGAGGUGAAAUUCUAUGAUUCGCUGAAGACGAACUUAUGCGAAAGCAUUCACCAAGGAUGUCUUCUUUAAUCCAAGAACGAAAAGUUGGGGGAUCGAAAGACGAUCAGAUACCCGUCGUGGGUCUCAAACCAUAAACGAUGCCGACUCGGGGAUCGGGUGGACGUUUAUUCAUAUGGACUUCCAUUCGGCACCCGCACGGAGAAAAUCCAAAGUCUUUUGGGUUCCGGGGGGGAGGUAUGGGUCGCAAGGCUGGAAACUUAAAAGGAAUUUGACGGGAAGGGCACCCCAAAGAAGUGGGAGCCUUGCGGUUUAAUUUUGACUCAACACGGGGAAAACUUACCAGGUCCAGACAUAGUGAGGAUUGACAGGUUGAAGAUCUUUCUUGAAUUCUAUUGGGUGGGGGUGCAUGGCCGUUCUUAGUUGGUGGAUUGAUCUGUCUGGGUUAAUUCCGAUUAACGAAACGAGACCUCAGCCUGCUAAAAUAGUGGACGUCGGCUUGCCGGCGGCAAUCAGCUUCUUAGAGGGACUAUUGGUGUGUAGCCAAUGGAAGAAUUGAGGCAAUAACAGGUCCGUGAUGCCCUUAGAUGGUUUCUGGGCCGCACGCGCGCUA
rnacentral:rRNA from 1 species